rnacentral:pre_miRNA from 1 species
CAAGUACUCCCUCCGUCCGGAAUUACUUGUCAUCAAAAUGGAUGUGUCUAGAACUAAAAUACAUCUAGAUACAUCCAUUUCAAUGACAAGUAUUUUCGGACGGAGGGAUUACAAG